AGUGAACGCUGGCGGUAGGCCUAACACAUGCAAGUCGAACGGCAGCACAGUAAGAGCUUGCUCUUACGGGUGGCGAGUGGCGGACGGGUGAGGAAUACAUCGGAAUCUACUUUUUCGUGGGGGAUAACGUAGGGAAACUUACGCUAAUACUGCAUACGACCUACGGGUGAAAGCAGGGGAUCUUCGGACCUUGCGCGAUUGAAUGAGCCGAUGUCGGAUUAGCUAGUUGGCGGGGUAAAGGCCCACCGAGGCGACGAUCCGUAGCUGGUCUGAGAGGAUGAUCAGCCACACUGGAACUGAGACACGGUCCAGACUCCUACGGGAGGCAGCAGUGGGGAAUAUUGGACAAUGGGCGCAAGCCUGAUCCAGCCAUACCGCGUGGGUGAAGAAGGCCUUCGGGUUGUAAAGCCCUUUUGUUGGGAAAGAAAAGCAGCAGGUUAAUACCCCGCUGUUCUGACGGUACCCAAAGAAUAAGCACCGGCUAACUUCGUG
rnacentral:rRNA from 1 species